rnacentral:snRNA from 1 species
GCACAUACAUAUACUAGAAUUGAAACAAUACAGAGAAAAUUUCUAUGGUCCCUGAGCAGAGAUGACAUGUAAAAUCGUACAGUGCGCUUCGAAUUUUU